UUGGGUGAACAGGCGGAGGGAUCAUUACCGAGUUUACAACUCCCAAACCCAAUGUGAACCAUACCAAACUGUUGCCUCGGCGGGGUCACGCCCCGGGUGCGUCGCAGCCCCGGAACCAGGCGCCCGCCGGAGGGACCAACCAAACUCUUUACUGUAGUCCCCUCGCGGACGUUAUUUCUUACAGCUCUGAGCAAAAAAUUCAAAAUGAAUCAAAACUUUCAACAACGGAUCUCUUGGUUCUGGCAUCGAUGAAGAACGCAGCGAAAUGCGAUAAGUAAUGUGAAUUGCAGAAUUCAGUGAAUCAUCGAAUCUUUGAACGCACAUUGCGCCCGCCAGUAUUCUGGCGGGCAUGCCUGUCCGAGCGUCAUUUCAACCCUCGAACCCCUCCGGGGGGUCGGCGUUGGGGAUCGGGAACCCCUCAGACGGGAUCCCGGCCCCGAAAUACAGUGGCGGUCUCGCCGCAGCCUCUCCUGCGCAGUAGUUUGCACAACUCGCACCGGGAGCGCGGCGCGUCCACGUCCGUAAAACACCCAACUUUCUGAAAUGUUGACCUCGGAUCAGGUAGGAAUACCCGCUGAACUUAAGCAUAUCAAUAA
rnacentral:rRNA from 1 species